AUCAGCUGAUUGCAUCUCCUGUGCCUCUCAUCUCCCCCACCUCUGUGUGAGUCCUGUCUCAGAGGAGGAAUCACAUAGCUGGGCCAACUAGAAACACACUGGAGAAACACAUGACAAGGGGAUGGGGAUAAUAAUCGUUAUUAUGAAUAUUAUCAGGUUGCCACAGUGGAGAUGGUGAUGAGGAGGUGAUAGAAGACAGUGAUGAUGGUGAUGAGGAGGAGGAGGAGGUGAUAGAAGACAGUGAUGAUGGUGAUCAUGGUGAUGAGGAGGAGGUGAUAGAAGACAGCGAUGAUGGUGAUGAUGGUGAUGAGGAGGAGGAGGUGAUAGAAGACAGUGAUGAUGGUGAUGAUGGUGAUGAUGAGGAGGAGGAGGUGAUAGAAGACAGUGAUGAUGGUGAUGAUGGUGAUGAUGAGGAGGAGGAGGUGAUAGAAGACAGUGAUGAUGGUGAUCAUGGUGAUGAGGAGGUGAUAGAAGACAGUGAUGAUGGUGAUGAUGGUGAUGAGGAGGAGGACGAGGUGAUAGAAGACAGUGAUGAUGGUGAUGAUGGUGAUGAUGAGGAGGAGGAGGUGAUAGAAGACAGUGAUGAUGGUGAUGAUGGUGAUGAUGAGGAGGAGGAGGUGAUAGAAGACAGUGAUGAUGGUGAUGAUGAGGAGGAGGAGGUGAUAGAAGACAGUGAUGAUGGUGGUCAUUGUGAUGAGGAGGUGAUAGAAGACAGUGAUGAUGGUGGUCAUGGUGAUGAGGAGGAGGUGAUAGAAGACAGUGAUGAUGGUGAUCAUGGUGAUGAGGAGGAGGUGAUAGAAGACAGUGAUGAUGGUGGUCAUGGUGAUGAGGAGGAGGUGAUAGAAGACAGUGAUGAUGGUGAUGAUGGUGAUGAUGAGGAGGAGGAGGUGAUAGAAGACAGUGAUGAUGGUGAUCAUGGUGAUGAUGAGGAGGAGGAGGUGAUAGAAGACAGUGAUGAUGGUGAUCAUGGUGAUGAG
rnacentral:lncRNA from 1 species